CAGUCGCCACGGGAAUACGGAGGGUGCAAGCGUUAAUCGGAAUUACUGGGCGUAAAGCGCACGCAGGCGGUCUGACAAGUCAGAUGUGAAAUCCCCGGGCUUAACCUGGGAACUGCAUUUGAAACUGUCAGGCUGGAGUCUUGUAGAGGGGGGUGGAAUUCCAGGUGUAGCGGUGAAAUGCGUAGAGAUCUGGAGGAAUACCGGUGGCGAAGGCGGCCCCCUGGACAAAGACUGACGCUCAGGUGCGAAAGCGUGGGGAGCAAACAGGAUUAGAUACCCCAGUAGUCCCUGUCUUUUAUAC
rnacentral:rRNA from 1 species